rnacentral:misc_RNA from 1 species
GAUGAAGAACGUAGCGAAAUGCGAUAAGUAAUGUGAAUUGCAGAAUUCAGUGAAUCAUCGAAUCUUUGAACGCACAUUGCGCCCCCCAGUAUUCUGGCGGGCAUGCCUGUUCGAGCGUCAUUUCAACCAUCAAGCCCUGCUUGUGUUGGGGUCCUGCGGCUGCCCGCAGGCCCUGAAAACCAGUGGCGGGCUCGCUAGUCACACCGAGCGCAGUAGCACAUCUCGCUCAGGGCGUGCGGCGGGCUCCAGCCGUUAAAGCACCCACCUUUCGCAAGGUUGACCUCGGAUCAGGUAGGAAUACCCGCUGAACUUAAACAUAUCAAUAAGCGGAGGA